rnacentral:rRNA from 1 species
UACGUAGGGGGCAAGGCGUUGUCCGGAUUUAUUGGGCGUAAAGAGCGUGUAGGCGGCUAGGUAGGUGGGUUGUGAAAACUGGAGGCUCAACCUUCAGACGUCGACCCAAACCCCCUGGCUAGAGUCCGGAAGAGGAGAGUGGAAUUCCUGGUGUAGCGGUGAAAUGCGCAGAUAUCAGGAAGAACACCCGUGGCGAAGGCGGCU